GUAUUUUAUUUGCGUUAGACGCGACAUCCUUUCCAUAAAACUUUAUUACAGCGUGUAUAUGUGUAAAUGCAUAGAACCGCAGCAGGCAGGAAGAGAACAGAGCCCCCCCCCAAAGCCACGGAACUAUGGAGUGUGCACAGGUGUGAGUGGAGAUGUUAUAAACAGAGCGUGCACAUGCCCCCAUUUGAGGACCAGCAACAACUCGUGUCAACAAUUCGGUAAUGAUCCUUCCGCAGGUUCACCUACGGAAA
rnacentral:misc_RNA from 1 species